GAUGAACGCUGGCGGCGUGCCUAAUACAUGCAAGUCGAGCGAACGGACGCUGAUCUUGCUUCUUUGAUGUUAGCCGCGGGCGUGUGUGUCACACGUGUAUCACCUACCUGUCUGACGGGUAUCACUUCGAGAAUCCGGCGAUUAUCCCGUAUGAUCUUUUGCUCCGCAUUGUUCAAUAGUGAGAGACGGUCUUGCUGUCUCUUAUAGCUGCAUCCGCGCUGCAUUAGCUAGUUGUUACGGUCACGGCUUACCAAGGCAAGGAUGCCUAACCGACCUGAGAGGGGGAUCGGCCACACGGGAACUGAGACGCGGACCAGACGCCUACGGGAGGCAGCAGUAGGGAACGGUCCGCAAUGGGGGAAAGCCUGACGGAGCAACGCCGCGUGAGAGAUGAAGGUCUUCGGAUCGUAAAACUCGGUUAUUAGGGAAGAACAGAUGUGGAAGGAACUGUGCACAGCGUGACGGUACCUAAUAAGAAAGCAACGGCUAACUACGUG
rnacentral:rRNA from 1 species